rnacentral:rRNA from 1 species
AGCGAACGCUGGCGGCAGGCUUAACACAUGCAAGUCGAACGGGAUCUUCGGAUCUAGUGGCAGACGGGUGAGUAACGCGUGGGAACGUGCCUUUCGGUUCGGAAUAACCCAGGGAAACUUGGACUAAUACCGGAUACGCCCUUCGGGGGAAAGAUUUAUCGCCGAAAGAUCGGCCCGCGUCUGAUUAGCUAGUUGGUGAGGUAAUGGCUCACCAAGGCGACGAUCAGUAGCUGGUCUGAGAGGAUGAUCAGCCACAUUGGGACUGAGACACGGCCCAAACUCCUACGGGAGGCAGCAGUGGGGAAUAUUGGACAAUGGGCGCAAGCCUGAUCCAGCCAUGCCGCGUGAGUGAUGAAGGCCUUAGGGUUGUAAAGCUCUUUUGUCCGGGAAGAUAAUGACUGUACCGGAAGAAUAAGCUCCGGCUAACUUCGUGCCAGCCGCCGCGGUAACAC